UAGCGAAGGGGGCUAGCGUUGCUCGGAAUCACUGGGCGUAAAGCGCACGUAGGCGGAUUGCUAAGUCAGGGGUGAAAUCCUGGAGCUCAACUCCAGAACUGCCUUUGAUACUGGGCGACCUUGAGUCCGGGAGAGGUGAGUGGAACUGCGAAGUGUAGAGGUGAAAUUCGUAGAUAUUCGCAAGAACACCAGUGGCGAAGGCGGCUCACUGGCCCGGUACUGACGCUGAGGUGCGAAAAGCGUGGGGGAGCAAACAGG
rnacentral:rRNA from 1 species